rnacentral:siRNA from 1 species
UUGCAUAUCUCAGGAGCUUUA